rnacentral:rRNA from 2 species
UGGGGAAUCUUCCGCAAUGGACGAAAGUCUGACGGAGCAACGCCGCGUGAGUGAUGACGGUCUUCGGAUUGUAAAGCUCUGUUAAUCGGGACGAAUGGUUUGUGUGCAAAUAGUACAUAGACAUGACGGUACCGGAAUAGAAAGCCACGGCUAACUACGUGCCAGCAGCCGCGGUAAUACGUAGGUGGCAAGCGUUGUCCGGAAUUAUUGGGCGUAAAGCGCGCGCAGGCGGACUAGCCAGUCAGUCUUAAAAGUUCGGGGCUUAACCCCGUGAUGGGAUUGAAACUACUAGUCUAGAGUAUCGGAGAGGAAAGUGGAAUUCCUAGUGUAGCGGUGAAAUGCGUAGAUAUUAGGAAGAACACCAGUGGCGAAGGCGACUUUCUGGACGAACACUGACGCUGAGGCGCGAAAGCCAGGGGAGCGAACGGG